AGUUUUGUACAAAAUAUGUUGGUUGAAAAUAAUUAUUUUAUAAAUGGUAAAAUGAAAAGAAAAUAUGAAAAAAGGGUCAAAAAAUCAAAUUAAAAAUAUGCUACAUUAACUUUGGGUGGUUUUUAAGUCAUUCAAAAUCGGUGUCUAAAGAAUCUAACAAGCAUCAAUUUUUUUAAUCUCUCAUAAAUAAUGUCAUCCAAGAUAGAUUAAAAUCGGCAAAAAAGAAAAAAGUACUUUCAAGCAUGCCGGUUUAGGCUUUAGUUCCAACUUUUGACUUGACGUGGGGAAACAUCACCUUUCUACAUAUGAACAUAUUUAAUUCUUCAUUUCCCAUCACAUGUCCCAAUCCAUAAAAUUGCUGAGAUAUUUAUAGACAAGGUAGAAUUUAAUGCUAACUAAAUUUUAAAAAUUAAACAUAUUAAAAGUUAAAAACUUCAAUUCAUCGGCAAAUUCAUGUCAAGAUGAUGUUAGGAAAAAAUUACAGAGAGUUCAACAUGAUAAAUCACAUGCGAAGAUCGCUACAAGUUCGAGUGUCAAAUAUAAAGUAUAGGAAUAUAAAGCCAAAAAGCUACUGUUUGAUCAAUUAUUUAUCCUGUCUCAUCCCUUCGUUCUUCAAGAAUCAAGAUUCAUCUACAUCCACCCCAAAAGAGCGUAUACAAGAAAAAGUCAAAUCUGAUUGUCAUCUGCGGAUAGCGUUUCCAGGGGCGGGCUUCACCGUGCAACCCACCCAAAAGAGCGAAUAUUAUGCCAUCUUAGUUAUUCUAAAUAUAGUAAGUAGUAUUCGUGUAUGGUGCCUACUUCUUCUCUUUCAAGUUUUCACUCCAUUUCUAUUAGUAUUGUUGUUAACGUCAGAUUAUUGCCCAUUCCUCGUUCUCGCCUUUUUCUCGUCUUUCUUCAUUCUCUGUUAUCGUCUUAGCCUUUUGCCAUCUCUUAAUUGAGUUCAAGAUUGGAUCUUUUACAGAUCGCUCACUUGCUCAUAAUAUAAAGCAAGCAAUUGUUCAUUAAGGGGUCCAGCCAGUUGUUCCUCAUAAUAAAUUCUAUCACUGCACAGCAAGACAUACAAUCUGUUCCAGAUAAUUCAGAGAAACCAAUAUUCUCUCAGAAUCAACUUGAAACAACAAGGACCCAUACUACCGAUAUUAGUGUGGAAAAUUACAAGAAAUGGCAUCAGUGUUUUUGUACCAUGUGGUGGGGGAUCUGACGGUGGGAAAACCUGAGCUGGUUGAGUUUGCAGAGACAGAAACAGUGGAGGCCGCCAUUCGGGCCAUAGGAGAAUCCUCGGAGGGAGGAAUUCCAGUGUGGAACAAGAGAUCACAGAAGAGUGUGAUUGAGAAUGCAGAAAUGAGGCAGCAGAGAUUUGUGGGCAUCUUGAAUUCCCUUGAUAUUGUGGCAUUCUUGGCCAGAGAGGAGUGUGUGGCCGAUCAGGCUAAGGCCAUCAAGACACCAGUUUCCGAGGUUGUAAUUCACAACAAUUCUGCGCUAAAGGCGGUUGAUCCUGGCACAAGGUUCACUCUCUUACUUUAACCUGUGCUACCUUCUCAGUUUCUUGCCAGUAGCUUGAAACUUCGAAUGUUUUGGGAUUUGUGAAUAAGUUGUAUGAUUUUUCAUUUGUGAUUCUUGGUAUUAUGCAUGAAAAUUUCACAUAACCUGACUUCAGUUCUCUUUGAAACUUGGAUUUAGAGGUGUCAAAGGACCAAUGGGAGAAAUUCCAAUACGAUUAAGUUCAAAACUCUUGUCGAAUGUUUUCAGAUUAACAAGAAUGAAUGACACAAUCUCCAUAGAAAAAAUAAUGAUUGCAAAUGACGUAGAGGUGUAGAAUUUGACAACUCCAUAUAAAUGCUCAUUAACUUCACUGUUAUUUUCUCCUUAUUUACUAACCGAGGAAAAUGGAGUUUUUCAGAACCUUCACUCUUUACCAUCAUAUUUUCAAGGUUCUAAGUAAAGUCUAGAGCAUGAGAAGUAGUUAUAAUACUGCAAUAGGAUAUAAUGCAUUUGCUUAUAAACAGGGAUAUGGAACCUUAUCUUGAUCAAUUGUGAAAACGCCAUUAUAUGUUAUAAAGAUGUACUUAUGACUUGCUAUACUUGCAAAAUUAGUAGCUAUCUCUUACCAGAUGACGAAAAUAGGGGUGAAUUAGUUGAACUUUAAAUGCCAAUUCAUAAGCUAUUAUUUUAAGAGAAUUCGAUGUUUUUUGUAGCAGACAUUGUUCACUAUGGGUCAAAUCUUCUAGAAGUUGGCAAAAGGUGAUUUUAUUCCUUUUCUCUCAUUUUCUUUAUGUAUAAGUGUCGCUUUUUGUCUCUCCCACACACAAUAAGAUUCUUGUCUCAUUCACUUGUUAGGCUUCUCAUUUUCUUUAUUGUUUUGGUCAUUUGGACUGCACACAACUAAGUAGAAGUAUCCAAAUGUUGAAACGGUGAAGUGCGAGGGACAUUAGUAAUUGCAAAAACAUGACUCUAUAAGUAUAUAUUGAGUGUUAUAUAUACUUAGACAUGGCUGGACUUGACAAGUGAAUUUUAUUUUCAAAAUUUACAGAAAUUUACAUGAAAUAUUAUAAAAAUAAAUUUGGACUGUAUAUACAAUUAUAGAAGCAAUCAGUUUUGACAUUGUACCAUUGGUGGCAAAAUCUUACUUGGUUCCUGUAUUUGUUACCUCAAUGAAGUAACUAGUUAUUAUUUAGGAAGUGGAAAAUCUCUGGGGUACUAUCAUUCACUCUGUUAACUUCUAUUUGGAAAGCAUAACUUUUAUCUGGAAAAUCAAUGAAGACUCAUAAGGUUAUAAGACCUUUUGUAAAACUAAGGUUCUUGACUUUACCAACAAUCAUGUCCAACGAAAUAUAGGAUGCUCCAGAAACCCAAGAAGUGUAUGUGCAUUGUGCACCUUCCAUGGUUUAAAAAUAUCCCUUCCAGCAGUGCACCUCAGGAAGAACCUUUAUGAGGCGUACACUUCUACUGAUUGAAAUUGAAUUGGCCCUGAUUAUAAAAGAAUUAGAGAGAGCCUUCUUGAAAUUGUGUUGAUCUUCUGUAACCUACUUGUCUAGAGUUUUCUUUAUUGACUGAUGAGGGUCCCUUGCAAGUGUUUUAAGCAUUUUCUUUUCUUUUCCUUUUUUUCCCUUUCCAUUUUGUUAAUUUUGUACAUGUUCUUUCUCUCUCAGAAAAGGUGUUGCGUGAGUGCUAGAAAUAUAGUUGAUUUGAGUUUGAUGGUUUUGGCUAGGGAGUAAAAUUGCACAUACUAAUUUUAUUUAUUUAUUUAUUUUUAUAUUCAGAGAAUGUGUGUGUUGGGAUAAGGGUGCGGGGUUGGGACAAGGGAGAAAUUCUCAUAGAUUCUUUCUAUAUCUAUUCAGAUUUUAUUACAAUUUCUUUCUUUACCCCGUUCUGUUAUUUUAUUUAAACAAAUAGAUCAUACAUGGUGAAGGAUCUGUUAAAAGGUAAUUGUUGGGAAGGUGCAAUAAGGAUUUCAAAAAUGAUAUAUAUUGAUUACUGAAAGAACAGAAAACAUACAUAAAGAGCUUGCCAUCUUCUGUAAAGAAGCUGUUGCAGUGCUAUUCUAAGUAUUUCAUUCAACUUUUUUAUAUUUCUUUAAUAUGACAUAUUCCACUCUUAUUAUUGAUCGUAUUAGCUGUCACAAUGUUAGGGUAGUAAUAGCACUGACUAACUGAACUUACUAUAUUGAACUUCUUGUACUUAUUCCCUGUUCCCUACAAAGAACUAGUCUUUAGAAAUAAAAGUUCGGAAAUUAUAUACAUUUCUUCAGGGAAAUAUUGCCUCUAACAAGAUGGCUACAUUGGCAGGAGAGGUGGCUGCUUAUCUCUCUCUUUUUACUUGAAUAAUAUCUAGAGAAGGGAAAAUUAUGAAUACACGGGCAUUCUACAUGUUAGGAACAUUUGCAAGAGAAGGUGCUUGUGCGUCAUUAGUAAAAUUGCUUGAUUCACAGCCAUUCCAUUUUCUUCUAAAUAUUUGUAUAUUUUACCAUAGUUUGCAGAUGUUAAGAUUUUGAAAUGAAGGUUUUGAUCUUUUUGGAAGUCUUAUUUUAAUGUUAUUAUGUCUAUGAUGCUCUUCCAUCAACCUUUCUAAUUCUCUCUCACCCAUCUUUGAAAAUGAAGAAACAAGGCUUUAAGCCUCAAGAAGUUAACUGACUCUCUUAUCCCUUUCCUUCCAGGCUAGCAAGUGUCCUUACAAUCACAGACACAUAAAAGAAAGUAUCUUUUUAACUGGAGACGGGGAUGGGGAGUGUCUUUAAGUGCCCAUUGUUUUGUAUAACUGUACAUAUCAGUCUGUAGCACUGCAACCAGUAUGUAUAAGAAUCUGUAAUAUAGAACUUAAGUACCCAAUUAACUUUAAGAAGUCGGAAUAAUCCUUUGGAAAGCUUUAUAGUUUUCAGGCCUAAUGAUCUUUCAAACAUUAAUCUGUUUCUCCUCUGUCCUUUUACAUGUGAACUGUUCUCUUGAAUGACAUUUAUUUUACCUUUCCUUUUCAACACCGUUAUCUUCAUUUUUAUAAAGUAAAAAAUUUUGCCAAUCACUACCUUCCUUCUCUUGCUAUGGGCAGCCUGAGAUUUUUAAGGCUAUCUCUGUUUAUGCACAUGCUGAAAAUUUUAAUUGCAUUGUGAACUCCUGAUAUUUACUACUUCAAUUUAAAAAAAAAAAAAAAAAAAAUGGGAUUCCUUUGUUGUUCCAUGUGUUAAAGCUUAUGUGGGACCCAAUUAGCAUUUGUUACAUUCUCGCUUUAGUGUUCCUUAAUAGUACUUAUAAUUCUGAUAUUUGUUUCUUGUAUAAGAUUGAUAGAUGCUCUGGAGAUGAUGAAGCAAGGUGUGAAGCGACUCCUUAUUCCCAAAAGCAUAGUCUGGAGAGGCAUGAGCAAGCGCUUCUCAGUUCUAUACAAUGGAAAAUGGCUCAAGAACAUCGAGACUUCUAGUGGCAAUAACACAAACCCUAUUGCCAACACUAACCUUCCAUCGUCAUCAUCUUCCACCGACAUCAUUCAGGACAAGUUUUGUUGUCUGUCAAGAGAAGAUGUUCUACGUUUCAUCAUUGGUUGCCUUGGUGCCUUGGCUCCUUUACCACUUUCCUCAAUUGCUUCCCUUGGAAUCAUCAAUCCAAACUACUGCUCUAUUGAAGCAUCUUUCCCAGCCAUUGAUGCCACCAAAAAUCGUCCCCAUGAUCCAUGUGCAGUUGCUGUUGUGGAGCCAACGUCAGAUGGUCAAUAUAACAUCAUCGGUGAAAUAUCUGCCUCUAAACUAUGGAAAUGUGAUUACUUAGCUGCAUCAUGGGCACUUGCUAAUCUCUCUGCUGGACAGUUUGUUAUGGGGGUUGAAGAUAACCUGACAUCAAGAUCACUUCCUGAUAUUGCGCUUAAUCAAAUGGUCGGGGAAUCGAAUUUAGGUAAUGGAGGAAUCCCAGCCAGGCAAAAAAAAUUCAGCAGCAGAAGUAUUGGGUUCUUUAGCAAUGCCGCAAAUUCAAGUUUUGGGGUUGGUAGGAGCAUGUAUCGGGGUAGAAGUGCACCAUUAACGUGUAAAGUUACUAGUUCGCUGGCUGCAGUAAUGGCUCAAAUAUUAUCUCACCGGGCAACACAUGUUUGGGUUACAGAGGCUGAAAACGAUGACAUAUUAGUUGGUGUCGUAGGUUAUGCUGAUAUCUUGGCUGCAGUUACCAGACAACCGGUUCCAGCCGUUUCGGAAAGCCAGCCAUCUUGAGUUUUUGCCAGCCCAUAUUUCUGCAAGAAUUUUGGGAUAGUUGUGCUUGUUUAUGCAUUGCAUUGAUUUGUCUUGGUAAUGUUACAACUUAAACAGAAGUUUAAUGUUGUGUAAGUUGAAGUGAUUCUGAGAAUGACAUAUACCUAAAACAUAUUAGCCUGCGUCUGGGGUUUUCAGUCAGUCUUUAGUUAAAAAUUGUAUGGCCAAACUUUAAACAAACUUUGGGGAUGAGAGAUGCAAUUAUGUCUUUCCCCGUUGAACUUACAAAAGGUGCAUUUGUGUUGUAAAUAUUAUUCUUUUGGGAAUAAUAUAGGGUGUAUUUACAAUUUAUAUAUUAAACAAUAAAAG
rnacentral:lncRNA from 1 species